CACGGUGGAUGCCUUGGCACUAGGAGCCGAAGAAGGACGUGACAAACGACGAUAUGCCUUGGGUAGCUGUAAGUAAGCGAUGAUCCAGGGAUUUCCGAAUGGGGGAACCCAACAGGUACUACCUGUUACCCGCAUCUGUUAAGGAUGUGAGGAGGAAGACGCAGUGAACUGAAACAUCUAAGUAGCUGCAGGAAGAGAAAGCAAAAGCGAUUGCCUUAGUAGCGGCGAGCGAAACGGCAGGAGGGCAAACCGAAGAGUUUACUCUUCGGGGUUGUAGGACUGCAAUGUGGACUCAAAGAUUAUAGAAGAAUGAUUUGGGAAGAUCAGCCAAAGAGAGUAAUAGCCUCGUAUUUAAAAUAGUCUUUGUACCUAGCAGUAUCCUGAGUACGGCGGGACACGCGAAAUCCCGUCGGAAUCUGGGAGGACCAUCUCCCAACCCUAAAUACUCCCUAGUGACCGAUAGUGAACCAGUACCGUGAGGGAAAGGUGAAAAGCACCCCGGGAGGGGAGUGAAAUAGAACCUGAAACCGUGUGCCUACAACAAGUUCGAGCCCGUUAAUGGGUGAGAGCGUGCCUUUUGUAGAAUGAACCGGCGAGUUACGUUAUGAUGCGAGGUUAAGUUGAAGAGACGGAGCCGUAGGGAAACCGAGUCUGAAUAGGGCGGAUUAGUAUCAUGACGUAGACCCGAAACCAUGUGACCUACCCAUGAGCAGGUUGAAGGUGCGGUAAGACGCACUGGAGGACCGAACCAGGGCACGUUAAAAAGUGCUUGGAUGACUUGUGGGUAGCGGAGAAAUUCCAAACGAACUUGGAGAUAGCUGGUUCUCUCCGAAAUAGCUUUAGGGCUAGCGUCGACAUUAGAGAUUCUUGGAGGUAGAGCACUGUUUGGGUGAGGGGUCCAUCCCGGAUUACCAAUCUCAGAUAAACUCCGAAUGCCAAUGAAUUAUGGUCGGCAGUCAGACUGCGAGUGCUAAGAUCCGUAGUCGAAAGGGAAACAGCCCAGACCACCAGCUAAGGUCCCAAAAUAAUUGUUAAGUGGAAAAGGAUGUGGGGUUGCACAGACAACUAGGAUGUUAGCUUAGAAGCAGCUAUUCAUUCAAAGAGUGCGUAAUAGCUCACUAGUCGAGUGACCCUGCGCCGAAAAUGUACCGGGGCUAAAACAAUUUACCGAAGCUGUGGAUACCUUUAUAGGUAUGGUAGGAGAGCGUUCUAUGUGUGAAGAAGGUGUACCGUGAGGAGUGCUGGAACGCAUAGAAGUGAGAAUGCCGGUAUGAGUAGCGAAAGACAGGUGAGAAUCCUGUCCACCGUAAGACUAAGGUUUCCAGGGGAAGGCUCGUCCGCCCUGGGUUAGUCGGGACCUAAGGAGAGACCGAAAGGUGUAUCCGAUGGACAACAGGUUGAUAUUCCUGUACUACUAUUAAACGAUAAAGACAAUAAGGAGGGACGCAGGAGGCUAUAUCAGCUAUCGAAAGGAAGAGAUAGUUUAAGCAUGUAGGUAGGCUUUGUAGGAAAAUCCGCAUAGCUAAUACUGAGAAGUGAUGACGAGGGACUACGGUCCUGAAGUGAUAGAUGCCAUGCUGCCAGGAAAAUCUUCGUAUUGAGUUUAAUGGUACCCGUACCGUAAACCGACACAGGUAGACAGGUAGAGAAUACUAAGGUGCGCGAGCUAACUCUCGUUAAGGAACUCGGCAAAAUGAUCUCGUAACUUCGGGAGAAGAGAUGCCGUACUAGAGUGAAGGGAGAGACACCCGGAGCUUGAGGCGGUCGCAGAGGAGAGUCCCAAGCAACUGUUUAACAAAAACACAGGUCUGUGCGAAAUCGUAAGAUGAAGUAUACGGGCUGACACCUGCCCAGUGCCGGAAGGUUAAUAGGAGAUGUCAUCGCAAGAGAAGCAUUGAAUUGAAGCCCCGGUGAACGGCGGCCGUAACAAUAACGGUCCUAAGGUAGCGAAAUUCCUUGUCAGGUAAGUUCUGACCCGCACGAAAGGUGUAAUGAUUUGGGAGCUGUCUCAACGAGAGGCUCGGCGAAAUUGGAUUAGCUGUGAAGAUACGGCUUACUCAUACCAGGACAGAAAGACCCCAUGGAGCUUUACUGUAGCUUGUCAUUGAAUUUGGGUUUUGCAUGUGCAGGAUAGGUGGGAGACAGUGAAGUCGGGACGUCAGUCCUGAUGGAGUCAACGGUGAGAUACCACUCUUGCAAGAUUUAGAUUCUAACCUUAAUCCCGUAAUCCGGGUAAGGGACAGUGGCUGGUAGGCAGUUUGACUGGGGCGGUCGCCUCCUAAAGAGUAACGGAGGCGCCCAAAGGUUCCCUCAGGCUGGAUGGAAAUCAGCCAGAGAGUGCAAAGGCAUAAGGGAGCUUAACUGCGAGACCUACAAGUCGAGCAGGUACGAAAGUAGGGCUUAGUGAUCCGACGGUUGUGCGUGGAAGCGCCGUCGCUCAACGGAUAAAAGUUACCCUGGGGAUAACAGGCUGAUCUCCCCCAAGAGUCCACAUCGACGGGGAGGUUUGGCACCUCGAUGUCGGCUCGUCGCAACCUGGGGCGGUAGUACGUCCCAAGGGUUGGGCUGUUCGCCCAUUAAAGCGGUACGUGAGCUGGGUUCAGAACGUCGUGAGACAGUUCGGUCCAUAUCCGGUAUGAGCGUAAGAGAAUUGAGAGGAGCCGUCUUUAGUACGAGAGGACCGAGACGGACCAACCUCCGGUGUACGAGUGGUGUCGCCAGAUGCCAAUGCUCGGUAGCUGCGUUGGGAGCGGAUAAGCGCUGAAAGCAUAUAAGUGCGAAGCCCACCUCAAGAUGAGUUCU
rnacentral:rRNA from 1 species